UACCCCGCCAACCGGACAGGA
rnacentral:miRNA from 1 species